UUGAACGCUGGCGGCAUGCUUAACACAUGCAAGUCGAACGGCAGCACAGUGUGUAGCAAUAACACAUGGGUGGCGAGUUGGGCGGACGGGUGCGUAACGCGUAGGAAUCUGCCUUGAAGCGGGGGACAACCCGAGGAAACUCGGGCUAAUACCGCAUAAAUCUCGAAAGAGCAAAGCUGGGUGGUAACACCUGGCACUUCAAGAGGAGGCCUGCCGUCCCGAUUAGCUAGUUGGUGGGGUAAAGGCCCUACCAAGGCGAUGAUCGGUUAGCUGGUCUGAGAGGAUGAUCAGCCACACUGGGGACUGAGACACGGCCCAGAACUCCUACGGGAGGCAGCAGUGGGGAAUAUUUGGACAAUUGGGGGCAACCCUGAUCCAGCAAUGCCCGCGUGUGUGAAGAAGGCCCUUAGGGUUGUAAAGCACUUUAGGCUGGGAGGAAGGUAUCAAGUUUAAGAGAUAUGAUAUUUGACUGUACCGGCAGAAUAAGCACCGGCUAAACUCUGUGCCCAGCAGCCGCGGGUAAUACAGAGGGGUGCGAGCGUUUAAUUCGGAGUUUACUGGGCGUAAAGGGGGCGCGUAGGCGGUUAUUUAAGUGAGAUGUGAAAUCCCUGGGCUUAACCUUAGGAGCUGCAUCUCAUACUUGAAUAGCUAGAGUAUUGUAGAGGGUAGUGGAAUUUCCGGUGGUAGCGGUGAAAAUGCGUAGAGAUCGGAAGGAACACCAGUGGCGAAGGCGGCUACCUGGACAAAUACUGACGCUGAGGCGCGAAAGCGUGGGGAGCAAACAGGAUUAGAUACCCCUGGUAGUCCACGCUGUAAACGAUGAAAACUAGAUGUUGGGCAGCAUGACUGUUAGUAGUAUCGAAGCUAACGCCGAUAAGUUUUUCCGCCUGGGGAGUACGGCCGCAAGGCCUAAAACUCAAAGGAAUUGACGGGGGGCCCGCAACAAAGCGGUGGAGCAUGUGGUUUAACUCGAUGCAACGCGAAGAACCUUACCUACCCUUUGACAUCCUACGAAGACCGCAGAGAUGCGGUUGUGCCGAAAGGAACGUAGAGACAGGUGCUGCAUGCUGUCGUCAGCUCGUGUUGUGAGAGUGUUGGGGUUAAGAGUCCCCGUAAACGAGCGCCAACCCCUUAUCUUUAGGUUGCCAUCACGUAAAUGGUGGGGACUCUAAAAGAGAACUGCUGGGUGAUGAACCGGAGGAAGGCGGGGACGACGUUCAAGUCAUCAUGGGCCUUUAUGGGUAGGGCUACACACGUGGCUACAAUUGGGGCGUACAGAGGGAAAGCCAACCUCGCGAAGAGGGAGCCGAUCCCUAAAAGCGUCUCGUAGUCCGGAUUGGAGAACUGCAAACUCGACUCCAUGAAGUCGGAAUCGCUAGUAAUCGCGAAUCAGAAAUGUUCGCGGUGGAAUACGUUCCCGGGCCUUGUACACGCCCGCCCGUCCACACCAUGGGAGUGGGUUUUUACCAGAAGUAGGUAGAAUAACCGCAAGGGGUUUCGCUUACCACGGUAUGAUUUCAUGACUGGGGUG
rnacentral:rRNA from 1 species